rnacentral:rRNA from 1 species
AAUGAAUGUUGGCGGCGUGGAUUAGGCAUGCAAGUCGAGCGAACAGAGGGGCUUGCCCCAAAGUGAGCGGCGAAAGGGAGAGGAAUAUAUGGAUUAUCUGCCCUCAGGAUCGGGAUAGUUACGGGAAACUGUAGGUAAUACCGAAUAAUAUCUCCGGAUCAAAGGUGAGAUUCCGCCUGAGGAUGAGUUCAUAUCCUAUUAGCUUGUUGGUGAGGUAAUGGCUUACCAAGGCUAAGAUGGGUACCGGGCGUGAGAGCGUGACCCGGCUCACUGGGACUGAGACACUGCCCAGACACCUACGGGUGGCUGCAGUCGAGAAUCUUCGGCAAUGGACGAAAGUCUGACCGAGCGACGCCGCGUGUGUGAAGAAGGCCAUUUGUGUUGUAAAGCACUUUCGUUUGGGAGGAAAUGUAUGGGGGUUCUCCCCUGUAUUUGACCUAUCUUAGGAAGAAGGACGGGCUAAGUUCGUGCCAGCAGCCGCGGUAAUAC